UACGUAGGGUGCAAGCGUUAAUCGGAAUUACUGGGCGUAAAGGGUGCGUAGGCGGCGCGGUAAGUCGGGUGUGAAAUCUUGGAGCUUAACUCCGAAACUGCAUUCGAUACUGCCGUGCUUGAGGACUGGAGAGGAGACUGGAAUUUACGGUGUAGCGGUGAAAUGCGUAGAUAUCGUAAGGAAGACCAGUGGCGAAGGCGGGUCUCUGGACAGUUCCUGACGCUGAGGCACGAAGGCCAGGGGAGCAAACGGG
rnacentral:rRNA from 1 species